CAGCCGCCACGGUAAUACGAAGGGGGCUAGCGUUGUUCGGAAUCACUGGGCGUAAAGCGCACGUAGGCGGACUUUUAAGUCAGAGGUGAAAUCCCAAGGCUCAACCUUGGAACUGCCUUUGAUACUGGGAGUCUUGAGUUCGGGAGGGGUGAGUGGAACUGCGAGUGUAGAGGUGAAAUUCGUAGAUAUUCGCAAGAACACCAGUGGCGAAGGCGGCUCACUGGCCCGAUACUGACGCUGAGGUGCGAAAGCGUGGGGAGCAAACAGGAUUAGAUACCCGAGUAGUCCCUGUCUCUUAUAA
rnacentral:rRNA from 1 species